rnacentral:lncRNA from 1 species
CGGGAACUCCCUGUCCAGUACUUUUUUUUUGCAUGUAUUGAGAUGUUCAUCUGAUUUUUAUCUUUCAUUCUGCUAAUGGGAUGUACUACACUUAUUGAUAGGCAUAUAUAUCAGACGUCAUACUCAGUGGUGAAAGAUGGAAAGCCUUUAUUCUAAGAUCAGCAACAAGACAAGGGUAUCCACUCCCACCAUUCCUAUUCAAUGUAGUACUGCACGUCCUUACCAGAGCAGUCAGGCAAGAGAAGAAAUAACAGGCAUGUGAAUUGAAAACGAAGAAGUCAAGUUGCCUGUUUGCUGAUGGCAUGGUUUUCUAAGUAGAAAACCCUGAAGACUACUGAAAAACUGUUUGAACUAAUAAGUGAAUUCAGUAGAGUUGCAGGAUACAAACUAAUCUAAUCUAAUAUACAGCAUGGUGACUGUAGUUAACAAUGCUCUAUGUAUGAGAGUGGGUCUUAAAAAUUCUCACCACACAGACUGUACCUGUGAGGUGAUGGAUGUGUUAACUAACCUUCUUGUGAUCAUUUCAUAAUAUGUAUAUGUAUAUAGAUCAUGCUGUACACCUUAAAUUUAUCCAGUGUUAUACAUCAAUUAUAUGUCAGUAAAGGUCUGCCAAGAAAAAGGAGAUAAAGGAAUUUAUAUUUGAAGUCCUAGGGGCUCUUAAGUGGUAGAGCUGGAAUCCAAACCCUGAACUUUAUAAUUCCAGAGUCCAAGCUCUUUACUCCCAAUUUGAACGUACAUAUCCUAGAGCUUUCACCUUGUUGCCCUGUAUGUUGAUUCUGCUUCUCUGAUUAGAACAUAAUAGUUGAUAGUUUUCACAGUUGGUGUGCCUCGCUUUCAAUUCUGAGUUCCACUCUGGAGCUGUUCUUAGAUUAGUGGUCUUCAACCUGGAGUAUAUGGACACCUGGUGUUUUCCUGGGAGCUUUACAGGGAUUUUGCAUGCAGAAGUAGUUUAAAUGCUACUUAGUUGCUCAAUGCACAUAUUUACUUUCCUGAAAGUGGUUGCCUGGGAGCCCUUGUGGUUGGCAGAUUCUCCUUUCCUACCUUCCCCUUCACAAAUCGCUUUUCUUUCACUUCACUGAGUCACUCUUAACUUCGCUGCCUGAAUCUUUCAGUAGUUGAUUGCCUCAGGGAAUAAAAACCUGCUUCUCCCAAUAAAGGGACCAUUUAACAAUUCUUAGCUCCUGAGCAAGAAUUUAUAAAUAGCAAAGCAAAGAGAGCUUUGGUCAGACUCAUACAGGGGAGAGCUUUAUUUUAUUUUGGUAGCAAAUGUAGGACAGAUUUCCAUGCCUUAUUUAUUUCUUUGGGAUUGGACUUGAUUGUUGUGGUGUAGGGGGGUUUGCUGAGAUGGCAGAUUUAGCACAUUUAAGUGCACUUAAAAAUGAAGUCAGGCUUUUGUGACCGAUAGUAAGUUGAUUUGGUUUAUUGAUUUGACAGUGAGGACAUGCUUAGCAGUUAGAUUGUUUGGUAGACAUAUUAAGUAAAUGAGUGAAAUCUACAGUUCUCAGGGUUACAGCAAAACAUCCUGGGUGUGUGCAUAUAUAUGCCCUAGUGAAAUAUUAGUCACUCAUAAAGCAGAAGGAAGUCUUUGCCUGUUGAGACAGCAUGGAUGAACCUGGAGGACAUUAUGCUAAGUGAAAUAAGCCAGGUGACACAGAAAGAAAAAUAUCGUAUAUCAUUUAUAUGUGAAAUCUCAAAAAGUCAGACUCACAGAACCAGGAGCAGAAUGAUGGUUUCCAGGGACUAAGGGGUGGGGGAAAUGAGUUAGAUGUUGGUUAAACUUGCAGUUGUGAGAUGAAUAAGCUUUAGAGAUGAAAUGCAUAGUGUGAUGACUGUUGUUAGUAGUACUGUAUUAUACUUGAAAUUUGCUAAGAGACUAGAUCUUAAAUGUUCUUACCACAAAAAAAGUUAACUAGGUAAGUGAUGUAUGUGUUUUUGAUUGUGGUAAUCAUCUCAUACAGUAUAUAUGUGUAUUAAAUCAUCAUGUUGUACACCCUGAAUAUAUAAUUUUAGUUUGUUAUUUUACCUCAUUAAAGCUGGAAAAAUAGAAUACAUAUAUAUAAUCUUUGAAAUCAUAUUCUCUGCCUUCAUUAAAUUUAUGAUAAAAACUUAAGAUGUCCGAGUUCCCUUGUGGCACAGUGGGUUAAGGAUCCAGUGUUGUCACUGCAGUGGCUUGGGUUACUGAUGUGGCUUGGGUUCAGUGCCUGGCCCAGAAACUUCUACAUGCCUCAGGUGCAGCCAAAUCAAAAAUUUUUAAGAUGUCAAACUGAAGAUUUCAGAGGAUUAUGUUGUUUUUGGAGGUGCAAAAGCAAAAGAAUUGCGGAGUUCCCAUUGUGGCUCAGCAGUAACAAAUCCAACUAGUAUUCAUGCAGAUUCAAUCCCUGGCCUCGCUCAGUGGGUUUAGGAUCUAGUGUUGCUGUGAGCUGCGGUGUAGGUUGCAGGCGUGGCUCGGACCUGGCAUUGCUGUGGCUGUGGUGAAGGCUGGCAGCUGCAGCUCCUGUUUGACCCCUGUCCUGCCGACCUUCCAUAUGCCAUAGGUGUGCCCCCCCCAAAAUAAAUAAAUAAAUAAAUAAACUUAACCUCCACCUGGUCCCCAGUUCUACUUUAUCACAAUAUUGCCUUUCCUUUCCUCAUUUUCCAUGUGACUCCUUUUACUCUUUUUACUUUACUUUUUACUGCUUUUUACUUCACUAAACCUUUAAUGAGAAGUCUUUUAAUAAAAAAAAUUUUCCUUAAAGGCACAUUAUUUUUGUCCCCUGUGCUUUAGCUCUAAUGGGUUAUUACAUUACCUUGUGCUUGCCUGUUGGAGGGGUACUUCAUGGUAUGACUCAAGUAACACCUGUAUUGUGCUCCCCAAACACUUGUAUGUUGUAGCAUCUAUCAUAUAGUAUAGUACGUGGUGGUGUAUAAACUGAUUCCUCAGCUAAUUAUUGGAGAGCCUUGAGAGCAUGUAUUAUCUGUAGUUCUUCAGUGCCACCUGUGGAGCCUAUCAUAGAAUAGGCAUUUUAUGCUUGUUGACUGAAUGAAUGGGUACUUGAGCAUCGAAGACAUUAAACAGAGAGAAAUGCAAAAAAAAAAAAAAAA